UUUGUGUCUUUACUUUAAUAUAUCUAGUUUUAAAUUAAUCUGCAUUUGUUCAAAAAACAAUAAAAUGUGUAUUUUAUUCCUUUACUAAAUUAAUCUAAGUAAUCCCAGCCAAGCUUUUUAGGUACACACGCACAACAAACAAUACCUUGUUUUAUUUACUCACUUGGUAAAAAAAAAAAAAAACUCCCCUUCCUGUUUCGUUGGUCUGGAAACCCCUUGCAUUCCUAACGAAGACGAACACGCGGACUGAAUUUAAGGUGAUUCUCCUGACAAUAGGCUACACUGGAUAAAGGUUUGUGAUGACGAUGAUGCUGCAGCCAUCCAAGAGGCCAUCACUUCAUUUGUGCUCAACAUCUUUGUGGUCAGCAAAGCCAGGGAUGGAGGUCUCGAGAAGAAAGUUGGAAUAGCCAUUGAGGGAGCGGAGGUCCUUUUUUGCAUUCCCAGUGUAGCACAUGCUUGCUCCUACCUUAUGGGCCUUAUUUAUGCUUUGGAACUAAGCUACCCAGAGAAACUUAAAUACACCUUUGAGGUAUUUCAGAAGAUCGUCCUGGAGCUGGAGGAUGUUAACAAAAACAUGUCCUCCAAAAUCCACGAUUACAAGAUCAGCUUACUGGCCUAAAAGCGAUACAGACAUUGUUGAAUGUAGAGGGUUUGAGUCCCUCUGGUAAAGUUUUACUGUUCAAUUUCUCAGGUCUUUUUCAGUGCACUUUCUCAAGUCACACUAAUCCUAUUUCAUAUAGGGACCAUGUUUGUGAGUGUUAAUGUUAAAGGUGCAGUUGAAGGAAAGAUGACAGUUAAGAAGUCAGAAACUAUAUUGCACAAUGUGAGUUUUUUUCAAUAGAAACCCAAAGAAACUGAAAUGUAGGUUUCUUAGAAGAUCUCCAUUGUCACACGGGGAUCAUACAUAUGAUCAUACAUGUGCAAGCGUGUUGUUUUAAAGUCUUAAGAGUAUGUUACUGUACAGGACUGAAAAACGCAAUUUUAUAGAAAAUAUUCUGUAAAUGUGUCUGAAUGGUUUCUUAUGAAGACAAUAAAGCCUGUCAACUUUCA